rnacentral:rRNA from 1 species
GCAGUCUGCAACUCGAGUGCAUGAAGCUGGAAUCGCUAGUAAUCGCGGAUCAGAAUGCCGCGGUGAAUACGUUCCCGGGUCUUGUACACACCGCCCGUCACACCAUGGGAGUCGGGAAUGCCCGAAGCCGGUGGCCCAAUCGAGAGAAGGGAGCCGUCGAAGGCAGGCCGGAUGACUGGGGUGAAGUCGUAACAAGGUAAC